CUGCAGCUCGAGUGGUGGCCGCUAUUAUUGGGCCUAAAACGUCCGUAGCCGGUUUAAUAAAUGCCUGGGUAAAUCGUGUAGCUUAACUAUACGAGUUCCGGGUAGACUGUUAAGCUUGAGAUCGGGAGAAGUUAGAGGUACUCCUGGGGUAGAGGUGAAAUUCUGUAAUCCUAGGGGGACCACCAGUGGCGAAGGCGUCUGACUAGAACGAGUCUGACGGUGAGGGACGAAGCCCUGGGUCGCAAACCGGAUUAGAUACCCGAGUAGUCC
rnacentral:rRNA from 1 species